rnacentral:misc_RNA from 1 species
GUAGGUGAACCUGCGGAAGGAUCAUUAACACGUAUCCAACGUUAAAACCCCUGUGAACCUUACACCACGGCUGCUUCUCCGCAUGGGGCUGGUAUCUCACACAGACUGCGAUUGAUUCAGUUCCCCCCGUUAAGCGGUUCGUUUCCCUGUUAUCUCUAGGCUUUCCAAUCUUUUGUGUCGCAUUUGCCUUCGACCGCCACGUCGGUAACUCAUCACCGACAGCGCAUUGAUUCGGCGUGGUAGGGAAGGU